AGGACGAACGCUGGCGGCGUGCUUAACACAUGCAAGUCGAGCGGAAAGGCCCUUCGGGGUACUCGAGCGGCGAACGGGUGAGUAACACGUGAGCAACCUGCCCUUAGCUCCGGGAUAGCUCCGGGAAACCGGAAUUAAUACCGGAUACAACCACGGCCGACAUCUGCUGUGGUGGAAAGGAUUCCGGCUAAGGAUGGGCUCGCGGCCUAUCAGCUAGUUGGUGGAGUAACGGCCCACCAAGGCGACGACGGGUAGCCGGCCUGAGAGGGCGACCGGCCACACUGGGACUGAGACACGGCCCAGACUCCUACGGGAGGCAGCAGUGGGGAAUAUUGCGCAAUGGGCGAAAGCCUGACGCAGCGACGCCGCGUGGGGGAUGAAGGCCUUCGGGUUGUAAACCCCUUUCAGCAGGGACGAAGCGAAAGUGACGGUACCUGCAGAAGAAGCGCCGGCUACUACGCGCCAGCAGCCGC
rnacentral:rRNA from 1 species